rnacentral:rRNA from 1 species
UACGGAGGGUGCAAGCGUUAUCCGGAUUUAUUGGGUUUAAAGGGUGCGUAGGUGGGCUGGUAAGUCAGUGGUGAAAUCUCCAGGCUUAACUUGGAAACUGCCAUUGAUACUAUCAGUCUUGAAUACCGUGGAGGUCAGCGGAAUAUGUCAUGUAGCGGUGAAAUGCUUAGAUAUGACAUAGAACACCAAUUGCGAAGGCAGCUGGCUACACGAAUAUUGACACUGAUGCACGAAAGCGUGGGGAUCAAACAGG